rnacentral:rRNA from 1 species
GACGAACGCUGGCGGCGUGCCUAAUACAUGCAAGUCGAGCGGGCCUCCGGAGGUGCUUGCACCUCCGGAAGGCCAGCGGCGGACGGGUGAGUAACACGUGGGCAACCUGCCUUUGAGGCCGGGAUAACACCGGGAAACCGGUGCUAAUACCGGAUACGUCCUCUUUCGCGCCUGCGAGAGGGGAGAAAGACGGUCUUUAAGGCCGUCGCUCAAAGAGGGGCCCGCGGCGCAUUAGCUGGUUGGUGGGGUAAGGGCCUACCAAGGCUCCGAUCCGUAGCCGGUCUGAGAGGACGAUAAGCCACACUGGGACUGAGACACGGCCCAGACUCCUACGGGAGGCAGCAGUGGGGAAUCUUGCGCAAUGGGCGAAAGCCUGACGCAGCGACGCCGCGUGAGGGAGGAAGGCCUUCGGGUUGUAACCUCUUUCAGGAGGGACGAAGCUACUCGGGUGAAUAGCCCAGAGGGUGACGGUACCUCCAGAAGAAGCCCCGGCUAACUACGUGCCAGCAGCCGCCGUAAAAC